rnacentral:rRNA from 1 species
CCUACGGGAGGCAGCAGUGAGGAAUAUUGGUCAAUGGCCGGAAGGCUGAACCAGCCAUGCCGCGUGAAGGUCAGUGCCCUAUGGGCGUUAAACUUCUUUUGUGCGGGAGCAAUAAUGGUCACGUGUGGCCAGACGAGAGUACCGUACGAAUAAGCAUCGGCUAACUCCGUGCCAGCAGCCGCGGUAAUACGGGGGAUGCAAGCGUUAUCCGGAUUUAUUGGGUUUAAAGGGUGCGUAGGCUGUGAGGUAAGUCAGCGGUGAAAUGCCCCCGCUCAACGGGGUGAAGUGCCAUUGAUACUGCCUGGCUGGAAUGCGGAUGCCGUGGGAGGAAUGUGGGGUGUAGCGGUGAAAUGCAUAGAUAUCACACAGAACACCGAUUGCGAAGGCAUCUCACGAAUCCGCGAUUGACGCUGAUGCACGAAAGCGUGGGUAUCAAACAGGAUUAGAUACCCCAGUAGUC